rnacentral:rRNA from 1 species
UACAGAGACUGCAAGCGUUAUUCGGAUUUACUGGGCGUAAAGGGCGCGUAGGCGGCAAUUCAAGUCAGCUGUGAAAUCUCCGAGCUUAACUCGGAACGGUCAGCUGAUACUGUUUUGCUAGAGUGCAGAAAGGGCAACCGGAAUUCUUGGUGUAGCGGUGAAGUGCGCAGAUAUCAGGAGGAACACCGGUGGCGAAGGCGGGUCUCUGGGCCGAUACUGACGCUGGAGGCACGAAAAGCGUGGGGGAUCAAAACAGG